rnacentral:rRNA from 1 species
CAUUAAGUGUACCGCCUGGGGAGUACGGUCGCAAGAUUAAAACUCAAAGGAAUAGACGGGGACCCGCACAAGCGGUGGAGCAUGUGGUUUAAUUCGAAGAUACGCGAAGAACCUUACCUGGGCUUGAUAUCCUAAGAACCUUUUAGAGAUAAGAGGGUGCUAGCUUGCUAGAACUUAGAGACAGGUGCUGCACGGCUGUCGUCAGCUCGUGUCGUGAGAUGUUGGGUUAAGUCCCGCAACGAGCGCAACCCACGUAUUUAGUUGCUAACGGUUCGGCCGAGCACUCUAAAUAGACUGCCUUCGUAAGGAGGAGGAAGGUGUGGACGACGUCAAGUCAUCAUGGCCCUUAUGCCCAGGGCGACACACGUGCUACAAUGGCAUAUACAAUGAGACGCAAUACCGCGAGGUGGAGCAAAUCUAUAAAAUAUGUCCCAGUUCGGAUUGUUCUCUGCAACUCGAGAGCAUGAAGCCGGAAUCGCUAGUAAUCGUAGAUCAGCCAUGCUACGGUGAAUACGUUCCCGGGUCUUGUACUCACCGCCCGUCACACCAUGGGAGUUGAUUUCACUCGAAGCCGGAAUACUAAACUAGUUACCGUCCACAGUGGAAUCAGCGACUGGGGUGAAGUCGUAACAAGGUAACCGUAGGAGAACCUGCGGUUGGAUCACCUCCUUUCUAGA